rnacentral:rRNA from 1 species
AGUGAACGCUGGCGGUAGGCCUAACACAUGCCAGUCGAACGGCAGCACAGUAAGAGCUUGCUCUUACGGGUGGCGAGUGGCGGACGGGUGAGGAAUACAUCGGAAUCUACUUUUUCGUGGGGGAUAACGUAGGGAAACUUACGCUAAUACCGCAUACGACCUACGGGUGAAAGCAGGGGAUCUUCGGACCUUGCGCGAUUGAAUGAGCCGAUGUCGGAUUAGCUAGUUGGCGGGGUAAAGGCCCACCAAGGCGACGAUCCGUAGCUGGUCUGAGAGGAUGGUCAGCCACACUGGAACUGAGACACUGUCCAGACUCCUACGGGAGGCAGCAGUGGGGAAUAUUGGACAAUGGGCGCAAGCCUGAUCCAGCCAUACCGCGUGGGUGAAGAAGGCCUUCGGGUUGUAAAGCCCUUUUGUUGGGAAAGAAAAGCAGCAGGUUAAUACCCCGCUGUUCUGACGGUACCCAAAGAAUAAGCACCGGCUAACUUCGUG